CCCCCACCCCGCCUCAUCUCCCCAACCUGGGGAGACCCGAGACCCGUCCCAGGCGCAGGGUGGGGGCGCUGGGCAGCCAGACCUGAAAUCUCCAAACCAGGCCUUUGCUGGAUGGAGCGCCUCCACCUCUCAGACCCUCGGUUUCCCCGUCGUCGGUCACAUGGAAAGGAAAGUAGCGCCCCUUUGUCUGGACCGGGAGGCUUAACGGAGGAAAGCGGAAGCGCUUAGUCCCAGAGUGCUCUCAGACUGCUGGCUAUUGUGCAUUGACGCGCUUAACGAGUGGGUUUUGAGUACCUACUAUGGAUGAGGCGUUCCAGAAGUCUCUGCAGACACAGAGAUAUUCAGGAAGAAACCAAAGGUGAUCUAUUGGCCACGGGACAGGAGAUUGGAUUUAACCCAUCAACUCUGACCCUCCUGGAGAAGCAAAGCAUUUCCAUUGGGGAGCUGUCUGACCAAUCCAAUUCUCCGUGUCUGCGAGGGAGUUAACCAAGAAUAUCAAAGGCAUUCUUGAAUCGGUCAUCUAUCACGAAACAUUCUCCUCCUCCCGUCCCCCACCCUGCUCCCAUCAUCCCCCUCCUCCCGAGCAGCAGUGGCCACAGGGGAGAAAAAAACCCCCAACCAUUUACCAACAUGAUUAGCAGAGGAGACAAGGGACGGUGACGCAGAUUAUUUAAGCCAAUUUGUUGCCAAGUGUGAGAAGAAUAUGUUUUUUCUCCUUCAAAAAUGGCUGAAUAGCCAGCCUCUGUCUUCGAGGACG